UCGACGGGCUCAUAUUGAAACCUAGUGAUGUAUGAGUUAGUGGCGGACGGGUAAGUAACGCGUGGAGAACCUGCCGUAUACUGGGGGAUAACACUUAGAAAUAGGUGCUAAUACCGCAUAAGCGCACAGCUUCGCAUGAAGCAGUGUGAAAAACUUCGGUGGUAUACGAUGGAUCCGCGUCUGAUUAGCUGGUUGGCGGGGUAACAGCCCACCAAGGCGACGAUCAGUAGCCGGCCUGAGAGGGUGAACGGCCACAUUGGGACUGAGACACGGCCCAAACUCCUACGGGAGGCAGCAGUGGGGAAUAUUGCACAAUGGGGGAAACCCUGAUGCAGCGACGCCGCGUGAGUGAAGAAGUAUUUCGGUAUGUAAAGCUCUAUCAGCAGGGAAGAAAAUGACGGUACCUGACUAAGAAGCCCCGGCUAACUACGUGCCAGCAGCCGCGGUAAUACGUAGGGGGCAAGCGUUAUCCGGAUUUACUGGGUGUAAAGGGAGCGUAGACGGCAGCGCAAGUCUGAAGUGAAAUCCCAUGGCUUAACCAUGGAACUGCUUUGGAAACUGUGCAGCUGGAGUGCAGGAGAGGUAAGCGGAAUUCCUAGUGUAGCGGUGAAAUGCGCAGAUAUUAGGAGGAACACCAGUGGCGAAGGCGGCUUACUGGACUGUAACUGACGUUGAGGCUCGAAAGCGUGGGGAGCAAACAGGAUUAGAUACCCUGGUAGUCCACGCCGUAAACGAUGAUUACUAGGUGUUGGGGGGACCAAGGUCCUUCGGUGCCGGCGCAAACGCAUUA
rnacentral:rRNA from 1 species